rnacentral:rRNA from 1 species
GACGAACGCUGGCGGCGUGCCUAAUACAUGCAAGUCGAACGCUUCUUUCCUCUCGAGUGCUUGCACUCAAUUGGAAAGAGGAGUGGCGGACGGGUGAGUAACACGUGGGUAACCUACCCAUCAGAGGGGGAUAACACUUGGAAACAGGUGCUAAUACCGCAUAACAGUUUAUGCCGCAUGGCAUAAGAGUGAAAGGCGCUUUCGGGUGUCGCUGAUGGAUGGACCCGCGGUGCAUUAGCUAGUUGGUGAGGUAACGGCUCACCAAGGCCACGAUGCAUAGCCGACCUGAGAGGGUGAUCGGCCACACUGGGACUGAGACACGGCCCAGACUCCUACGGGAGGCAGCAGUAGGGAAUCUUCGGCAAUGGACGAAAGUCUGACCGAGCAACGCCGCGUGAGUGAAGAAGGUUUUCGGAUCGUAAAACUCUGUUGUUAGAGAAGAACAAGGACGUUAGUAACUGAACGUCCCCUGACGGUAUCUAACCAGAAAGCCACGGCUAACUACGUG